rnacentral:rRNA from 1 species
UACGUAGGGUGCGAGCGUUACUCGGAAUUACUGGGCGUAAAGCGUGCGCAGGCGGUUCGUUAAGUCAGAUGUGAAAUCCCCGGGCUUAACCUGGGAACUGCGUUUGAAACUGGAAGGCUAGAGUGUGGCAGAGGGGGGUGGAAUUCCACGUGUAGCAGUGAAAUGCGUAGAUAUGUGGAGGAACACCGAUGGCGAAGGCAGCCCCCUGGGCUAACACUGACGCUCAUGCACGAAAGCGUGGGGAGCAAACAGG